rnacentral:rRNA from 1 species
GCUUGUCUCAAAGAUUAAGCCACGCGUGUCUCAGCAUAAGCUUUUGUAAGGCGAAACUGCGAAUGGCUCAUUAAACCAGUUAUAGUUUACUUGGCGGUUGAUGUUUAUAUGGAUACCUGCGGUAUUUGAAGAGCGAAUACAUGCGCUAUACCCCGACUUCUGGAAGGGCUGUGUUUAUUAGAUACAGAACCAAUCUAGGCUUGCCUGGUUUUGUGGUGACUCAUGACAACUGAAUUAAUCGUAAAGCAGCUGCUGGCGAUAAACCAUUCAAGUUUCUGACCGAUCAGCUUCCGACGGUAAAUUGGCCUACCGUGGCAACGACAGGCGACGAAGAACUAGGGUUUGAUUCCGGAGAGGGAGCCUGUGAAACGGCUACCACAUCUAAGGAAGGCAGCAGG